rnacentral:misc_RNA from 1 species
ACGAGAAUUUCAUAUGACAAAAACCACCCUAGUCAAGAGCAUUAGCAUCCACUCCAGACAAUAAAUAUGCUGCAAAGUACACAAGUAUGAAAUUACAAAUAAAACGGAGGAGAAUUUGAAUAACAAGUUUCCUUGGCUCCAUGCUUUUCCUUAAGUUGCUAGAGAAGCUUAUGUCAGAAAGCUAGUCUUCAUGCUUUAAGCAGUGGACCGUGGAUCUUUUAGCCAGGCCCAACUUUAGGAAUAUCGUAAUGCUCACUCAUGUUCGCCAAAUACUGGUUGAAAUCUUGAAUCCUAUCACGAUGAGAUUUAUUAGCUUCUUUGGC